UACGGAGGGUGCGAGCGUUAUCCGGAUUUAUUGGGUUUAAAGGGUGCGUAGGCGGAAUAUCAAGUCAGCGGUAAAAAUUCGGGGCUCAACCCCGUCGUGCCGUUGAAACUGAUGUUCUUGAGUGGGCGAGAAGUAUGCGGAAUGCGCGGUGUAGCGGUGAAAUGCAUAGAUAUCGCGCAGAACUCCGAUUGCGAAGGCAGCAUACCGGCGGCGAUCUGACGCUGAGGCACGAAAGUGUGGGUAUCAAACAGG
rnacentral:rRNA from 1 species